rnacentral:tRNA from 1 species
GCACCCAUGGUGGAAUGGCAGACACACUAGAUUGAGGCUCUAGGCUCGAAUGGGCGUCCGGGUUCGACUCCCGGUGGGUGUAC